rnacentral:rRNA from 1 species
UACGUAGGGUGCGAGCGUUGUCCGGAAUUAUUGGGCGUAAAGGGCUCGUAGGCGGUUUGUCGCGUCGGGAGGGAAAACCUACAGCUUAACUGUGGGCUUGCUUUCGAUACGGGCAGACUAGAGGUAUGCAGGGGAGAACGGAAUUCCUGGUGUAGCGGUGAAAUGCGCAGAUAUCAGGAGGAACACCGGUGGCGAAGGCGGUUCUCUGGGCAUGAUCUGACGCUGAGGAGCGAAAGUGUGGGGAGCGAACAGG